rnacentral:pre_miRNA from 1 species
UGUUGGAGAUGAUAUGGCAGCGAAACUCUCAAUUCCGUAGUGCAUUGCAGUUGAUUUUAGGAAUUACUGCAAGCGCUGCAGAAUUGGCAGCUCCGCUGACCGCAGACAACGUAU